ACGAACGCUGGCGGCGUGCUUAACACAUGCAAGUCGAACGGAAAGGCCCUGCUUUUGUGGGGUGCUCGCGUGGCGAACGGGUGAGUAACACGUGAGUAACCUGCCCUUGACUUUGGGAUAACUUCAGGAAACUGGGGCUAAUACCGGAUAGGAGCUCCUGCUGCAUGGUGGGGGUUGGAAAGUUUCGGCGGUUGGGGAUGGACUCGCGGCUUAUCAGCUUGUUGAUGGGGUAGUGGCUUACCAAGGCUUUGACGGGUAGCCGGCCUGAGAGGGUGACCGGCCACAUUGGGACUGAGAUACGGCCCAGACUCCUACGGGAGGCAGCAGUGGGGAAUAUUGCACAAUGGGCGGAAGCCUGAUGCAGCAACGCCGCGUGCGGGAUGACGGCCUUCGGGUUGUAAACCGCUUUCGCCUGUGACGAAGCGUGAGUGACGGUAAUGGGUAAAGAAGCACCGGCUAACUACGUG
rnacentral:rRNA from 1 species